rnacentral:tRNA from 1 species
CACAUGGCUAAGAAACUGAAUUUUAGUUAUUAUAGCUGCAAUUACAACAAAAGAUGCUAGAGCGAUUAAUAUCACGUCAAUCAUUUGGACUAUUAUGUGAAAAACUUUUAUAUGAAUGAACUCUUAUUGGAUAGUAUUAAGGGUCCUGUUGAGCUGAGAAACGUUUAUUGGAAACUCGGAAUAAUAAACUAACCUGGUCCACCAAUGGCAAUCCAUGCUUGGUACAUUUUUAAAAUGUUUACCGAUCUCCCACCACCUAUGUUGCUUUCAAUGACAUGGGCACUUAAAUGAGUUGUACUUGGACCUAAAUCUGCUAGCAGAAAAAACUAGAAAGAAAAUUUUCAAAGGAAUUUAAUGUGAGGAACUAAAAAUACUGCACUUUAUCUCAUUGAAAUAAAAUGGAGGUCAGAGGAUGUGCGGAAUGAGUUUUGGUUCCUGUCACAUUUCUUUCCAACAUCUACUUUGUUAACUGGAGUACAUUUGAUUACUUUGGUAAUUCCCAAAGUUUUAUGCAUCAAGAGGCUGAAGGACUGCAGAAAUGAAGAAUUCUUCCUACCCUUGUGGCCUGUGCUAAAAUGAAGCACAACUGUAGUGUGUAUUUCUUCAAAGAACGAUAAAUACUUAUUACCUGCAACAAUGUUUAUAAUGACAUUUUCAUAAAACUUUGAAGUCUAGCAUUGUCAAUUGAUUCGUAGGUUGAAAUUCGGCUUAACGCGUAUUCUACAGUUAAGUACUGACAGGUGACAUGUAUAAAGUUGAAUUUAUGUGUGGUGAUGACACAAACUUAUGGAGAUUUGCUGGCAAAAAGUUGAUUCCUUCAACAGAAGUGAUUUUAAAACUCUCUGCUGCCAGUGUAUUUUUGUACCUCUUUCUGUUAAGGAACAACCAAUCUUAAUGUUGUUCUUUGAUGGAUCUGGAUUAUUGGCGAUAUUGAGAAGUAAUCCGUAACUUUCCCGUGCAUCACUUGCUGCAUCGCUAUUACGGCCAGUAAUGCAAUCCGACACCUGGAGCCAUGUACCAAGAAAUACGAAAGUCAUGUCCAUCAGCUCAAUCUUCCAAACCUAAAAAAGCCGAUGAUGUUAUGUGACUAAGCAAUCCAAGUAGCCGAAGAUGCUGCAAGCUACUUUAUCUUGUGUCCGGAGCAUUGUUUUCUAGUUAGGUCAAUGACACUGACGUAUGCGGAUAUCCUUAAGUACGGGAAUCCGGCGCCCGCUCGGACGUGAUAAGAUUGUGCUCAUGCUGGUAAGCGGCGGAAUGGAUUCCGCCGUUUGUGCUGUCCUUCUACAUAAAGCACUCCUACAGGGUGACGACUCUUCGAGAGUGCAGGCCAUCCAUAUCGAUAACGGUUUCCUGCGUAAAGACGAAUCCGAGCAGGUCGUCACUAGUUUACAGCAACUUGGGCUCAAUCUUCGGGUUGUUGAAGUAAGUUUGACUUUCCGUGAUGCCUCCACCAACGUGCAUGGUCGCCAAACUUUGUCGUUGGGAUUGACAGUAAAGACUUAUCAUAACGAUUCCGAAAUUGUUCAUCAGUUGCGCCUUCACGGCCGUGUAGUAGAACCUCUGGAAGACUUCCAUAAAGAUGAAGUAAGAGCCUUAUCCGGAUUGCUUGAUUGGCUACCAGGUAAAUUCCAUCCGGCUCGUUGGUCUAGGGGUAUGAUUCUCGCUUUGGGUGCGAGAGGUCCCGGGUUCAAAUCCCGGACGAGCCCAUCAAGUAAUGUAAUAUUUUAAUUUAAAAUUUGUAAAUCCUCCUGCUAUCCGGAUCGCUUGAUCGGCUUCCCAGUAUGUUUUAUCAGGCUCGUUGGUCUAGGGGUAUGAUUCUCGCUUUGGGUGCGAGAGGUCCCGGGUUCAAAUCCCGGACGAGCCCUUAAGUUUGUUUUAAAUCUAAAAAAUUCUUUAUUUGGCAAAUCCACCUGCUAUCCGGAUUGCUUAAUUGGCUACCUGAAAGGUUUCAUCCGGCUCGUUGGUCUAGGGGUAUGAUUCUCGCUUCGGGUGCGAGAGGUCCCGGGUUCAAAUUCCGGACGAGCCCUUGUUCUCACAUGAUAUUUUAAUUUAAGUUUGUAAAUCCACGUUCUAUCCGGAAUUCCGGACUGCUUAAUUAUUACCUGUCUAAGUUUCAUUGGCUCGUUGGUCUAGGAGUAUGAUUCUCGCUUAGGGUGCGAGAGGUCUCGGGUUCAAAUUCCGGACGAGCCCAUGAAGUAAUGUAAUAUUGUAAUUUCAAA